AAGUCUGAAGUGAGUAUCACGUCAAUUGCAAAUUUGAAAAAGUUCCUAUUGGUUCCAGGGCUU
rnacentral:tRNA from 1 species